rnacentral:lncRNA from 1 species
CUCCCUUUGUUCAUAUGUGAAGUCAAGCAGCCCAACUUUUUUUUUGUCAUCUGGGGACAACUGAUGAAUUCUCACAUCAUUGCUGGGAAGGAGCCUAAAGCUCAGUUUCUGUGUUUACUCUUUCAAGGAACAUGUGCCAAGAGCCUGCCAUGAGCCAGGUUCAAGGACUCGAAAGCACUCUGAAUGUUGCUUCUCCAAGGGGGUUGCUGGAGACUUGGAGUCUCUGCCUAGCCCCACCUCUUCAAAACAACUCAGGAUUCUGCCUAAGCACUCCUUUCAAGAUGAGGACACCCUCCCAGGUUGGAGAAGCUGUUUCCAUGACUGUCAGACGGGAAAUCCCUCAGUGGAUGGCAGCAUGUACUCAUUUCCUAUUGAUGAAAAGAAACGGGGACAGAAGAACAUAAGGGAGCCAGUGCCUCUCAGUCCAUGGUGGCGUGCCCCUUCAGGGACUUUUGGCAAUGUCUGAAGUAUUUGGUACUGGCAUCUCAGUGGUCAAGGGCAGGGAUGCUGGUAAGCAUCUUAAAAAUUCACAGGCUGGCCCCACACAACAAAGAAUUAUGUGGCAUAAAAUGUCCACAGUGCUGAGUUUGAGAAACUGCACCAAGGCAAUGACUUUCAAAGUGUGGUAUCCAGAUCAACAGCAUCUUCAUCAACUGGGAACUUGAUAGAAAUGCAAAUUCUCCCAGACAUCUCUACGGAUCUACUGAAUCACAAACCUUGGGGGGAGUGUGGCGGGCAGUGGGGGCAGAGCGGGUGAAAGAGGUGAAGCUCAGCCUUCUGUUUUUACAGACCCUCAAAGUAAUUCUGACACAACUAUAGUUUGACAACUACUGUGCUCUAAGGAAAUGGCAACCCAAGGAAAAUCCAACAGACCCUGAGAGCUGGUGAUCCUCCGAGAAAAUUCUGCCACUGCCUCCAGAUUCUUAUCGCAUGCAAAAGCCAUUCCUACCCUAUGGGAACCAUCGGAUUGUUCGUGCUUUGCUCUUUAAAAGAACAAACCAUCCAGAUAAAUCACAAGAUUAUUGAGAACAUCAGGGACCAAACAAACAAAAGGUAUACUUGUGGGUGUAUAUUGUAUUAUUCAAAGGUCGACUGUGUAAACACACACAGUGAAAUCUUACACAGACAUACCUCAGAAUAUUUGGUUUGGUUUGGUUUUUGACCACCACAAUAAAGCAAAUAUCACAGAAAAGUGAGUCA